AGGAAACAGGAGAGAGAGAGAGAGGGAGAGAGAGAGGGGAGGGGGCAGCAGCGCUACAGUGAAUGUGUAGGGUCUGGAUAUGCAGGGUCUCAGAGCAUGUUACUCAGAGUGAGUGCCGUACUCAGAGUUGGUUGCCAGUGCAAUCAGCAUUAGAGGUUCGGGCUAUUACCAUCAUGACUGGGUUUGUUUAUUUUUGAAGCAGCUUUAAACAUUAAUUAAGAGGAAAAUUACAAUUAGCGUUACAUUAGUGCUGUGCAUAGGGUUAUCUUUAAGAUAGAAGUAACUGUUAACGUUACUUUUAUGGUCUUUUUCUCAAUUAGUUUUAGUGGAUUUUUAGGAUAAGUGUAUAACACUGAUUUUUAGUAGCGUUAGGGUUAUAAUUAAUGCUAGCUAUGGGAUUAGGGUUACGGUUAGUUGAACUUAUUUUUUUUAACAUUACAAUUCAGUUAAGGUCACUUAGAAAAGUACAGGCACUGUUUUGAAUGCUACACUGAGCAUUAGAGACUUGUUAACAUCAGGUUAAGGGUUAAGUUUAAAGUUACAUUGUGAAUUAAUAUUAUCUCCAGAGCUCUCACUAAGCUUAGGGUUGAGGUCAAGAUUAACAUGAACUCUGCCUCCCAGCCAAUCCCAGUGAAGAAAAGGCAAGCAGAAAACCCAAGGGAACACCAAGGCAAAGGCAAAGAGAACAGCUAGGGAAGGUAAAGACAAAAGCAAAGGCAAUUAGAACGCCCAAGGGAAAGCCAAAAUGAGGGCAAGAGUAAGGGCAAGGAAAAUGCUGCACGGAAGGCCCGGCAGAGAGCAAGGGUAGGGGCAAGGGGCACGGCGGCACGGAAGGCCCGGCCGACGGCAGAGACCAAGGGGCACGGCGGCACGGAAGGCCCGGCCGACGGCAGAGACCAAGGGGCACAGCGGCACGGAAGGCCCGGCCGACGGCAGAGACCAAGGGGCACGGCGGCACGGAAGGCCCAGCUGAGGGCAAAGACCUAGGGGCAAGGAGAACGCGGCACGGAAGGCCUGGCCGACGGCAAAGACCUAGGGGCAAGGUGGCACAGAAGGCCCGGCCGACAACAAAGACCUAGGAGCAAGGAGAACGCGGCACAGAAGGCCCAGCCAACGGCAAAGACCUAGGGGCAAGGAGAACACGGCACGGAAGGCCCAGCCAACGGGAAAGACCUAGGGGCAAGGAGAACGCGGCACGGAAGGCCCGGCCGAGGGCAAUGAAAAUAGCCAGAGAAAGCAAAGGCAAAGAGAACACUGCAGGGAAAGGCCCAAGACAAGGAGAGACUAAGAGCAGGAGGACAGGCAGCCUGUAGGGCACCCUGAAGCAUAGUAACGAGCUCUGGGAACACUAGGUGGAGCCACGCUAUAAUAGGUAAGCACUGGUGGGUGUACACUGCCCUUACCUAUUAGGGCAGCCAGUAAACUAAGUUGGGUCUGAGGGCCUUCUUUCUUCGAGCCAUCAACUUCCAGAGCUGCAGAGCUAGCUUGAAAGUGGUGCCCUGAAGAUGGGAGGGAGAGGGAUGGGGGUGGCAGUGCUACGGUGUAGGUGUAGGGUCUGCAAGUGCAAUGUCUCGGUGCGAACACUGUACUUCUCAUGGUUAAGUGUCUGGAUUUGAUUAGACAGGCCAGAGGCAAGGAGAAAGCAGGAGGAAGAGGACAAGCAGCCGGUAGGGAACCUUUAAGCACAGUAACCAGCUCUGGGAGCACUACAUUGAGCCAUGCUAUGUUAUGAGUAAACGUUGGUAGGGGUACAUUGCCCUUACCUAUAUGGGCAGCCAGUUACCAGUCAGCAAAGUCGGGUUCCAGGGCAUUCCAGGAAAUGCAGCUUCCCAUUUCUUGCUGACUUCUUGAAGAGCCACAGAUAUCCCUGCAGUUCUUGCACCGCCCAGGAGCACCGCAGUUCUCCGCUGCCAC
ensembl:lncRNA